rnacentral:lncRNA from 1 species
AACUGCGAGCGCUGCGGCGCCCUUACCCAGAGUGCUCUGCGCCGUGUCGGCAGUGCUCAUCCAAUGAAAGCGCAGGAGACGGGCGAUUCGCGUUCGGAGCGAAAGAGAGGGGGCAGGACUUCCGGCGAGGCCGUCGUGCUGGCCGUUUGCGGGCUGGUUAGAUGUUCUAGAGCGCAAAGCCAGGUCAGAGGCAACAGGAAGUGGACGGAUCGAGAGGCGCCAUCGUCAGUCCUUUGCAGAGGUGGAUUUGAGGCUCUGAGGCUCAUGGCGACCUAGCGUUGGGGCUGGGAUGGAGGUGGAGGUGCUGUGGGUUGCGGUUCGCGGCUCAGAUCACGGUGCCUUCGCCGACGGACCCUGCAGAAAUCGGUGUUGCGACCUCUGGGCCCCCACCCUGGCCCCUCACACACACAACACAAUCUUGUUUUCAAAUCCUAAAGCCCUAAGUUAUGGGAGUUCAGGGCCCUGCAGGCUAGGCCCUAGUGUCUAGCACGGGAGUGGGGGUGCGUGUAGAUUUUGCCCCCAUUUCUGAAAGCCAGUGUAAUGAGGCACGGAAGGGUGUUACAACCGGAAAGAUUAGCGUGUGCAAAGGCUGGAGGAGCCCCCAAUCUGGGAGCAUUCCUGAAAGCCUGGGUCCACGUGUGUCCUCAUGGGUCAGGGUGUGAAGAGAAAUGACGCCUGGAAUGGCAGAACAAGGCCGUGUACGUCCUGAUGGUGUGGGGUUGUGAACAAAGGAGGGACACGGGCUGAGGUAGGGCUGCAAGAGGAGAGAGCAGAUCAACACCCCGGGGCCACUGAGUCCUUGUCAGAGUCACAAAGCAAAUAAGAGGCAGCACUGGGGGCUGGAGUGCAGAGGUCAUGCUGUCACUCCAUGGUCACCUGCUUCCAGGUCUGGCCACGGGUACAGGAGACGGCAGAGCCCGUGGAACCCGUCUCUUCCUGCUUCUCAUAGCCUUUCUCUUCCUGCAGGUUCCUAUGGCCACGGAAGUGCAUACGCCCCCUACGCAGCCGGAGUAUAUGACCUUUGAGGAUGUGGCCGUGUACUUCUCGUGGGACGAAUGGGACCUCCUUGAUGAAGGUCAGAAACUCCUGUACUGCGACGUGAUGCUGGAGAACCUCGCGCUCAUGACCUCUCUGGGUAAGGCCCUCACGUCUGCCCCAGUGCCUUGGGUGAGGCGUUGCCUUUGCUCUCUUCCCCAGACACAGCUGCAGCCUCACAUGGGGACCCUAGGGACUGCCCCAAUUUUCUUUUUCUUUAUUUUGAGCAGGGUGAUAGAUGUAGGCUCACUGUUUUCUAGGACAGAGCUAUUGUACUGUCCUACCAUUUCCCCAAGCACCCCCAGUAGCUGCUGCCCCAAAACCUUUCAGUGUAGGGGGUCAGGAGUCUUGCAGUUGGAUUUUUGGAUGCCACGUUUCUCUCCCUGGCCAGGUGACCCCUCCAUCCCAGGUUCCACUCCCUUCCUCGAGCUGGCGUAAACACGUCUGCUUGAGUCAAGAAUGGCCAUCAGCAACAUGGUCACUCUUUGUGUCCUUCAAUGAGACUCCCUUUGUAAUAUUUGUUUUAAGAUUUUUUUUAUUUAUUUGAAAGAGUUAAAGAGAGGCAGAGAGAGAGAGAGAGAGAGAGAGAUCUUCCAUCCACUGGUUCACUCCCCAGAUGGCCGCAGUGGCCGGAGCUGGGCCGAUCUGAAGCCAGGAGCUUCUUCCAGGUCUCCCACAAGGUUACAGGGGCACAAGGACCUGGGCCAUCUUCCACUGCAUUCCCAGGCCAUAGCAGGGAGCUAGAUGGGAAGUGGAGCAGCCGGGACUCGAACCAGUGCCCAGAUGGGAUGCCGGCACUGCAGAUGGCCGCUUUACUCACUAUGCCACAGUGCCGGUCCCCCCUUUUCCCACUCUUGACACUUUGUCAGUUUGUCAUUUUUGUGAUUUUUGGCCUGGGGCUAAUCUUGAGCUCCCUUGGUCCCACAUCUCCUCCAUAUCUGCCCACUGCUCCCUCUCACAGUUUCCCCCCGCACGGGCUCACACAUACUGUGCUGUGAGAUGCACACAUAUCCGUAAGGUAUCUUUGAACGUGAGCUCCUGUGUUUGGAAGUUGGGUUUCCUCGGGCCUGCAGUCUUCUACACAGCCACCCACGUGUCAACACAAGUUCUGCAGACCUCUGACAGGGGGUCAGCAUAGACCCUGCGGCUCCUCUUCAUGCUGCGCUCCGUCCUCUGUGCUCUGCCCGCUGAGGCUUGUCCCGAGCUGUGACUCUUGGAAGACCAUCACCGAAGGGCAGCUGCUUCCUCAACCUCACCCAGGCCUCCUCCUCCUGAAAACAGUCCCGCGAGCUCACACAGACCUGUUCACUGGUGCACAGACGGACACUGGGAGGCCGCUGCACCCUCUCGUUCAAGUCCACACGCACCUCACUGCAUUUCUUUGCUUUCAGGUUACUGGUGUGGAGCGGAAGACGAGGGAGCGCCGGAGCAGAGCGUUUCUGUGGAAAUGUCACAGGUCAGGAUUCCCAGAGCAGCUCCCUCUCCCCAGAAAGCCCAGCCCCACGAGAUGUUUGUCUUGGUCUUGAAGGACAUGUUGUGCUUCGCUGAGGACAAGGGGACAGAGUCCAGGCAGAAAGCACACACUUGGGACAUGGUGGAGAUUCCUUCAGUAUAAACCCUCACCAGCUGGGUUCCAGUACAGGCAGAUGGUUCAGGAGGGCUGCGGAUAGGGCCUUGUUUAUGAAGGGCUGCAGAUCCCGUGUGCACAAAGUCCUUUACUUCUGGGGAGAUGGGCAACUAUUUCCUGGUCUGUUCAGGCCUCCUCCACACCAGGUCACAUAGAGCAGGAAAGGCCACACAGCGCCACCUAGUGUGGGAAAGCCGGUCACAGUGAAAAAAAAUCGUUAGAAGUACAAUAAACGCAGGAAGCCUAGAGCUGUUAACGCUAUC